CAGUUCUCGUGGUAGACGUCUGUGGCUCCUGCCUGGUUUUCUUCCUAAUAAACAAUCACAUUUUGCUAGCAGCUAUCUAUACCAUUCAAGCAUGGCACUGUAAUAAAAGGAGCCAUUUUAGGGUAGAAACAGAAUUUGUCCCUGUCAAAGGAGUGGUUUUUGUGAAUCACAGAAUGGUUUGGGUUGGAAAGGGUCAGAAAGAUUACCUACUUCUCUGCAGACAAUAUAGGGUGCAGGUUACAUAGCAGCUGCUGAUUGCCCUGAUCCAGCAAAGCAUGCAAAGCCAGCACUUCACACCUGUAGCCCCUCCACCUGAGAUUAUUCUCACCUGGUUUCAGCCAUGCUGUAGCUACAUAGCUAAUCUGUGCAGGUCCUCUGGAAGAGGAGGUGGUUCUUUGCAUCCCAAGAGAGGCAGCCAAAGCUCUGGGAGGUGCUCAUCUCACACCACUGAUGGCAGAGGCACCUCGCUCCGAGGUAGCCAACAGCUGGUAUGGAUGGACCUACCUGAGUUUGCCAAUGGUUGGUGAAGAUGAACCUAUCUGAAGGGAGGGCUUGGGCUGUUACCUCUUGCUGUCCUACAAGGAGAGAAACAACUCAUUACUAGAAAAACAAGAAAAGAGAAAAAAAGAGAGAGAAUUGUAUAGAGAUCACCAGCAGGCCUGGUUUCCAGCACUCAUCUUCCCAGGCACGUGGGCACGGAGUGAAUUUGCAGCUCUACGGGACCAAACUCUUUGCAUUCAACACGCAGGGCAACUACUUGACCCCCCAUCAAGACACGCAUCCCACGGGCUCAGGCUGCCAUCACCCCUGGUUUGUACAGCUUUGGGCUGCCAGUGUGUGAGAAGCCAGUCAUCUUCCUACAGCACAGUGAUGGCAAACAACAGGAUGGGUCUGGCCAUCCAGUGGGACUGUCACCUAGCCAUGGCUUGGCUGGAGGAAUGGCUGCAGAAAGAUGGCUUCACCUCAAGCGGGUUUGGACACACGAAUCUGCUCUGAGCCAGGACUUCAGUGUCACUGCCUGGAGGGUGCAAAGUGGGUACCACACUUGGGUGACCAAGCAGAUGUUUAAAAUAAGGAGAAAAUGUCAUCUCCUUCACUGCCUUCCAUGCCCACAGUCAUGUAUGCACAAAUAUGUCAAGGGCAUCAAGAAUUUUAUAAUGAUACUCCCUCAGCCAUGGUUCCAGUUUAAACCGCUGUAAUAAACAAAAUAUACAGAGCACAUCGUUGGCACCAGAAGGUAUAAUUUUCUCUGAGCAGAAAUAUUACAAAAAAAAAAAAAAAAGAAGAAAAAAAAAAAAAGAAAGAAAAAAGUAGGAUUUCAUCCAACUUAGGAAGAAAUCUAUGCAGAUCUUUCCUUUCAUUAAACUUCUCAACUAUUAUUAAAGGCAAGUGAGUAGCCAGAAAUUCUUUGAUGAUGACAUUGAAUCAUUUGAUGAUAGAGUACUUUGGGAAGGGCUGCAGAUGCUGGUAAAAACCUUGGGUCUCGGGAAGAAUUAUCUUUCAAAUGUUACAAUACUUUCCCUUUUGGGGGAACACUUUUAACUCUCUUUUUCAAGUGAGCUCUACAUUUUCUCUUAAAUACUUUGGGCUCGCAGCUAUGAGAAGAGUGAUAUAUAAGGCUUUUUCUUCUGGAGCUGCUGAGGGACUGGAGAGAUGGAAAGAGAAAGAAAG